GUAUCUGGCUGUGUGGCUUCAGUUUAGAGUUAAUUCAAACGAGCCGUAUCAAUCACGCAUGUCCUCUCCCUUCCGUUCUCCGUCAACGGUCCCGCCUGCUCAACCACCGGCAGUCUAGAUGAGAUGGCCAGGUUGUUACCGAAUCUGUUCGGCAACUAUAGGCGAAAUUGGUGUCAAAUGAUGUCGAUAUGCUUCAAGCGGAUCAGAAGUUGAAAAUCGUCGUUUUUGACUGGGCUCUAGGCGACAGGUGGAUACAAUGUGAUCUCAGGAAUUUGGGGAGAGGUACAGCAAGGAUUAUGAAGCGCAAAUACAUUGAAUUGCUCCUGAAUAUUUUUAUCCCUACAGAGAGGAGCAAGUUAUGAGCCAAAAAGAGGAGAGGUGUUCGGCAGGGACUCAAUGUAU